rnacentral:rRNA from 1 species
CCCUUAGAUGUUCUGGGCCGCACGCGCGCUACACUGAUGCAUUCAACGAGUCUAAAACCUGCUCUGAUAGGGGUGGGUAAUCUUUUGAAUGUGCAUCGUGAUUGGGAUAGAUGAUUGAAAUUUUUCAUCUUCAACGAGGAAUGCCUAGUAAACGCAAGUCAUCAGCUUGCAUUGAUUACGUCCCUGCCCUUUGCACACACCGCCCGUCGCUCCUACCGAUUGAAUGAUCCGAUGAAUAUCAUGGAUUGAGGAUGCAAGUAGGUUCACCUAUCUUCAUCUUCGAGAAGUGAAGUAAAUCUUAUCAUUUAGAGGAAGGAGAAGUCGUAACA